UUUUUUUUUUUUUCUUCCUUUUUUGGGCUACCACAGAAGUUCAGAUCAUGCCUGAAGUAUUGUACAAGCCUUUUAAUUGGCCUCUUUUCCAUUCCAUUCUAUGAAUUACUACCAGCUUGAUUUGUUUAAACCACCCUUUUAAGGGCGUGUUUUCCCUUCUGUAAUAAUCUUCAGUGGCUCCCCCUUGCUCAUGGUGGAGGUCUCCAUGCAUUCCAUGUUUGUGAGCCUCUGCGAACACCAGCCCAGCUUCCAUCUCUCACUGAUGUUUUGAGGCAUUUAAAAUGAAGGCAUGGCCAGCAACUGGCACUCCUGCCACUCUUCCAUAACACUCAAAAUGGUGGCAAAUUUUUAGGUCCAAGGGAGGGUGGGAGAGUGCAGCACUUCAGAUCCCAAGUUUGAUUUACAUCUGGCUUUAUAAUCAAUCUGCUGGACGUAGUAACAGUCAUUUCCCUUUGCUCAAACCACCCCAAUGGUUUCUGGUGUCUUACAGCAUCGUAUAAAGCCUUAGAAGUUGGGCCUUCCCCAGUUCUCUCUCUCACCCCUCAUUCUGAUCCAGCCACAUGGAUCUUUUCUGCUGUUCUUCAAACAUGCCCAGCACUCUCCCAUCUCACAGCCCUGGUACUAGCUGUUUUCAAAGCCUGGAAUGUUCUUUCCUCAAGCAACAUGGCAAACUCCUUCCUUCUUUUUAAGACUUUAGUCAAAUGUCAACUCAUCAGUAAGGCUACUCAUGGGUGGCUUAUUUAAAAUAGCAAAUGCCUUCUCUUACUCUAGUCUUCCCACUCCUCCUUUCUGUUUUUCUCUACAGCACUUAUCAGCUAAUAGAUUACAUGCCUCACUUAUUCAUCCCAUUCGCUGUCUGUCGCCUUCAAUGGACUGUAAACUCCAUGAGGGCAGGAAGUCUCAUUUACUGUGUAUCCCCAGCAUCUAGAAUAGUUGUGUACAUAGCAAGACCUCGGUGAACAUAUGUUGAAUACAUGAAUGAAUGAACUGGAUAUAGUGCAAUCUCUUGAGCCCAGCCUACAGGCUUUACUCGGUCUCACCUGAGCUUUACUAUCUGCUACUUCCUGACAUGAAACCCAUAUUCCAGACAUUAUGGGCUACUGCUCCUGUGACCAUUCUUUCCCAACCCUUGUGCCUUUGGUUGCACUGUACCCUUCCCUUGGAAACCCUUUUGCAUUCCUCUGACCUUUCCAUAUUCUCUGUGAUUAGGCUAAAUUUCCCCUUAUUCUGGGAAACCAUUCAAUGCCAGGCAACCUUCUUCUUCUCUACUCAUAGAAUAUUUUCUCCAUCAACUAACUUGACAAUGGAAUACAUUCUGCAUCAUGAUAUAAUUUAUAUUCUUAUCUUCUAAGGUUAUUUAAACUAUGAAUUAGUAUUUAACUUUUCAAAUGUUUCUAUUUUGUUUCUCCAACUUUGGGAGCUUUCUGAGGAAAGACCCGGUAUAAAUGAAUAGAACUGCUCAUGGACAGCAUUCCAGACUAGGAGCUCACUUCACCACCCUGAGACAUGAGGGAGUCAAUACCUCAGCACCCUGGGACCACCAUUUGCUCAGGAGUGUGCCUUGGUGUGCCAGGUAGGAAAUCUCUGUCCUAGGGUGCCAUGCUCAUAGUAGGUGCUCACAAAGUCUUAGUCAAUGGACUGAUUGAUCUUGUGUCAUUGUUCUAUUCUUAAUAAUCUCUUUGCAGAAGUGAGGCUGCAAGUCUCUAUUACAUUUAUAUCUUGCUACAUUGCUUGUUUUUUAUUUGUAUUUUUAAUAUGCUCAUUUGCAAGUAAGCACACUAAGUACAGUAAGAAGUACUAUAUUCAUUAAAAAAGAUUAUAUGUGAAUGAGAGUUCUGUAUUUGAUAUCUAAUGUCAAUUAUGUCAAUUAGAUAUAUGACAUGGCUAUAAUCUAGGAACUCAUGUCCAAAGCUCUCCUUAACAAUGCUUAUGGAAGUACUUGAACAUAUUAGGAAUUCAGUAACUCUUUCUAGUAUAAUAAAAUCAAAUGAAAUGAACUUGAUAUGUGAUGCUUCUGAUUUCAACUUAAUUUUAGUGUAUUUGUAUUUUUAAAAAUGUAUCUUAUAGCUAACUUCUAUAAACAGAUAUUAAUAGAGGUCUAGCAUUAAUUUGAAAGUUAAUUUUAAUGUAAUUUUGGAGAGAAUUAAAUAUUAAAUUUUAAGUGUGAAGUAUAU
rnacentral:lncRNA from 1 species